UGCCAGCCGCCGCGGUAAUACGGAGGGGGUUAGCGUUGUUCGGAAUUACUGGGCGUAAAGCGCGCGUAGGCGGACUAUUAAGUCGAGGGUGAAAUCCCAGGGCUCAACCCUGGAACUGCCUUCGAUACUGGCAGUCUUGAGUUCGAGAGAGGUGAGUGGAAUUCCGAGUGUAGAGGUGAAAUUCGUAGAUAUUCGGAGGAACACCAGUGGCGAAGGCGGCUUACUGGGACUUUUCUGACGCUGAGGCACGAAAGCGUGGGUAGCAAACAGGAUUAGAUA
rnacentral:rRNA from 1 species